rnacentral:rRNA from 1 species
GACGUAGGGCGCGAGCGUUGUCCGGAUUUAUUGGGCGUAAAGAGCUCGUAGGCGGCUUGUCGCGUCGACUGUGAAAGCCCGCGGCUCAACCGCGGGUCUGCAGUCGAUACGGGCAGGCUAGAGUUCGGUAGGGGAGACUGGAAUUCCUGGUGUAGCGGUGAAAUGCGGCAGGAUAUCAGGAGGAACACCGGGUGGCGAAGGCGGGUCUCUGGGCCGAUAUUGACGCUGAGGAGCGAAAGCGUGGGGAGCAAA